AAUGGCCAGGGCUGAAGCAGCACCCUGGAACUGCUCCCUGUCCCCAGGUUCUGUGUAUCACUGUGGUGCCACGCCUGGCUGUGUGGCAGGAUGGGAGGAUAGUGGCUGGGCCUAUAUCAGGGCCACGGGAGCCCACUGGCUGUUUGUAACUGCACAGAAAGUAUAGAGCUUGAAGCACAGUUCAUGAGGAGUCCUUACCAUCCUUACCACUAUCUCUCAGCUGGCUGCUUUCUUUCAACUGACCUCCCUUCCUUUCAGAUCAUCUCAGGCAGGCCCAUGCUCUUCCUGUGACUGCCCGAACUGGAGCGUGAUGCUGAAAAGAAACUUUGAAGAAGAACUUUUUACUUUCUACAAUGAGUCAGUGCUGCUGGUGAAAUUGCAUCAAACCGAAGAGCCACCCGUCAGGAGGAAGAUGUAGGGAGGCCCUGUCUUCACUUCCCAUGAGCCAUUUCUUGCCUAAUGGGGACAGACAGCUCUGAGCUGCAUAAAAAAACCAUGCAUGGCUCACUCGACUGUUACUUCUCUUCAUUUUAUUUCUGGCCAGGCAUGGUGGCACACACCUGUAAUCCCAGCACUUUGGGAGGCUGGGGCUGGAGGAUCACUGAGGCUGGAGGCUGAGGCCCAGAAGUUUGAGACCAGCCUGGACCACAUGGCUAACCCUUGUCUCUGCAAAAAAUACAAAAAUUAUCCAGGCAUGUUGCAUGUGUGGUCCCAGCUAUGCAGGAGGCUGAGGUAGGAGGCUGGCUUCAACUAGGGAGGUGGAGGUUGCAGUGAGCCAUGAUCAAGCCACUAUACUCCAGGCUGUAUGACAGAGCAAGACAGUCUCAAAAGGAAAAAAAGUGUUAUUUCACUUUUACAUGGAUUCCUUUCCCAGGAAAACCACAGAUUUCAGCCAAUUCUAUGAGAAAAUAAGUCCCCAGUGCUCAAAAAUAGGGAAAGCUAGCAGCCCGACCUGAAGAAAGACACAGACAUGGUAGUAAGCAGCAGUGAAGGCAGUGCCAGGGAGACCUGGGCAGGAACGGCUGAGUUGCACUGAUUUUGCCCUUAGCUUUUCCUGAA